CCUGCUUAUAUAUAAUUCCUAGCUUCCUUUUAUGCUUUGAAGGUUCCUAUUCGCCGUUGAUUACUUUGAUGCAGGCAUAUAUUAAUAUUGAUCGGACUAUUGGCAUAUACUGUGUGUAUCCAGUAUACUUUCUUCCGAACCAGAUACAGAGACAUUUAUAUCUGUCGUCUUUUUGCAAGUGAAAGCAACUUUUCUACUAGGAGCGGUGAAGGGACUCCACCCUGUGAAUUUCCCCAGAAUAACACACCGCGGGCCGGUAGUUGGUAAAUUAGUAAGAAUAAGACCCGAGGUCUGGAUAUUGCAGUUGCAUCUCAACUCCAACUUAUCCACGCUCCACCCCGACAUAUCAAAUAUAUGUCCGGCUUGUGAAUGUUGCCCCCGCGAUACCAACCACAGCUUCACCUGCCCAAUUACACUCACUCAGCUAACACCCCCUAAAUUCUACGUUCUAAUAACAUAUCGAGAUUGAGACGAUCAAAUGGUCUGUGACUCCCUGAGGAAGGCAGGAAAAAGCGCUGAAACGCAUAGGAGGGAAAAGGAAAACUUAUUUUCGCUUUUUAUUUCAAGAAAGAAGGCAUUUAAUGCAAAUUGAAAUUUUUUGCUAUUUUUUCUGCUGCUGAGGCGCUUGCCGGGUUCUCCUUAAAAGUAUUUAGAAUAUCGUGUAAAAAAUUGGACCUAAAAGAAGCGCUUACUUACGUUUCUUCUCAUCGGCAGACAUAAGUAGCGAUAAAAUGGUGACUUGAUUAUUUUUACUGAUUUCUAGGAGGGUGGCAGCGGCUGUUUCAUCCUUAUUUGAUAAGUAAAA